rnacentral:rRNA from 1 species
AUUGCAGGCUGCAACUCGCCUGCAUGAAGUCGGAAUUGCUAGUAAUCGCAGAUCAGCAUGCUGCGGUGAAUACGUUCCUGGGCCUUGUACACACCGCCCGUCACACCAUGAGAGUCGGGAACACCCGAAGUCCGUAGCCUAACCGCAAGGGGGGCGCGGCCGAAGGUGGGUUCGAUAAUUGGGGUGAAGUCGUAACAAGGUAGC